rnacentral:lncRNA from 1 species
ACCUCCACUGGGAUGUCCACCAGGCCGAACUGGCUGUUGAAGUCAGGAGAGGAGCCGAGCAGCAGGCCGAUGGUGGCUAGGAGGGACACGGCCAGGCUCCACAGCAGGGGCCUGUUCUCGGGCAGGCUCUCCAUGAAGGGUGGGCCCUGCGGGGAUGCGGGCAAUGGCUGUGGGUGGCCUGGACAUGAGGGUGCGUGCGGGGUGGGCCCGGUUCGGGGCUGGGCGGCCUCACCUUGUAGUUGAUGGCGAAGGUGGCCAUCUGCAUGGCCAUGGCCAUGAUGUACACAGUGCUGUUGACCAGGCUGGGCUCGAACUCCUUGUAGAGGUCUACAAACUGCUCCUGCCUGUGGGACGCACCAGGUCAGGUCCCUACUGUCCCCACGCCUGUCCCUGCGCCCAGGUGACCCUGGGCUCCCGUCAGCUUCUGUGCACAGGCCCUGUUGCCCACUGCUGCCCACCACUGCCCACCAGGGCGUCACUCACUUCUCGGGACUGCGGGCCUGGGCCUCCCGGUACAGGUAGACGAGGCUCAGGAAAUGCACGGCAAACUGCAGCAUCACGGGCUCUGAGGCUCCCCAAGCUGUGCCAGCCCUGACUGGACCCCCACAUCUGGGCUCUGGGCCCCACCUGUCCCUGUGGAUGACAGGUCCCACCCACAGACCACACGAGCCAGGGCCCAUGCCGCUGGGUGCCCACCUUGGAGCGGGAGAUGAAGAGGAAGCAGCCGGCCAGCAGCAGCCCCUGCAGUGUGGCCUGGAAGUCGCUGAACUUGACACCCUCCAGGUAGAGGACGCUCUGGCUGUAGGCCAGGAUGAGGGCGUUGAGCGCCAGGAUCUUGAACAUCUGCAGCGUGGUCACCAGAGUGCAGCGGCCUUGCUUGAUCACGUGGCAGACUGGGGCGACAGUGGGGAGUGUGGGAGCGGCCGUCGGGCGCGGGGCGCGGGGCGGAGGGCGGCGAGGGGCACUCACUGCACUGGAUGGACGAGAGCUUGGAGGUGAAGGGCGCGGCGAUGCUGGCGUCACCCAGCUUCACGAUGGGCGUGCUCUCGUCCUCCAGGUCGCGCAGCACCUGGCUCAGGCGGUCCUGC